rnacentral:lncRNA from 1 species
GCAGGCUUAGAGGGAUCAAACGAGAUUAAAAAUGAAGUUAAAAUAGAUUUAAAUUCAAAGCCGAAAGAUAAUCCGAUCUAAUAUGCAAGUUGGUGGUCCACCAUGGACCACUUGGUUCAUAAGAAAGUUGAUAAGCCAUGAAAUGCUAUAGUAAUUUUCACAUGGCUCAGGCUCUGGCGGGAUGUAUGAGAUUCAAAUCAAA